rnacentral:tRNA from 1 species
GGGGCUGUAGCUUAGUGAUAAAGCACUUGCCUUCCAUGUAUGAGGCACUGGGUUUGGUCCUCAGCACCA